UACGUAGGGGGCAAGCGUUGUCCGGAAUCAUUGGGCGUAAAGAGCGCGUAGGCGGCCCGGUAAGUCCGCUGUGAAAGUCCAGGGCUCAACCCUGGGAUGCCGGUGGAUACUGUCGGGCUCGAGUCCGGAAGAGGAGUGUGGAAUUCCUGGUGUAGCGGUGAAAUGCGUUGAGAUCCACAGGAACUCCGGUGGCGAAGGCGGCGUGCUGGACCCGAUCUGACGCUGAGGCGCGAAAGCCAGGGGAGCGAACGGG
rnacentral:rRNA from 1 species